rnacentral:rRNA from 1 species
AUGAACGCUAGCGGCAGGGCUUAACACAUGCAAGUCGAGGGGCAGCAUGAGACGGAGAUUCGUCGAAGUCUUGAUGGCGACCGGCGCAAGGGUGCGUAACGCGUGAGCAACUUGCCCGUUUCUGGGGAAUAACCGGUGGAAACGCCGACUAAUACCCCCAUAGUAUUGACUUUGGGCAUCCUUAGUCAAUUAAAGAAUUUCGGAAACGGAUAGGCUCGCGUGACAUUAGCUGGAUGGCGGGGUAACGGCCCACCAUGGCAACGAUGUCUAGGGGUUCUGAGAGGAAGGUCCCCCACACUGGAACUGAGACACGGUCCAGACUCCUACGGGAGGCAGCAGUGAGGAAUAUUGGUCAAUGGUCUGACGACUGAACCAGCCAUGCCGCGUGAAGGUCACGGCCCUAUGGGUCUUAAACUUCUUUUGUAAGGGAGCAAUAAGCUUUACGUGUAGAGUGAUGAGAGUACCUUACGAAUAAGCAUCGGCUAACUCCGUG